CAGCCGCCACGGGAAUACGAAGGGGGCUAGCGUUGUUCGGAAUUACUGGGCGUAAAGCGCACGUAGGCGGACAUUUAAGUCAGGGGUGAAAUCCCGGGGCUCAACCCCGGAACUGCCUUUGAUACUGGGUGUCUAGAGUAUGGAAGAGGUGAGUGGAAUUCCGAGUGUAGAGGUGAAAUUCGUAGAUAUUCGGAGGAACACCAGUGGCGAAGGCGGCUCACUGGUCCAUUACUGACGCUGAGGUGCGAAAGCGUGGGGAGCAAACAGGAUUAGAUACCCCUGUAGUCCCUGUCUCUUAUAC
rnacentral:rRNA from 1 species